rfam:Monodelphis domestica chrTn_v05.000855 genomic scaffold, whole genome shotgun sequence.
AUCUGAGUGGCUCAGUGGACAGAGAGCUGGGCUUCAAGACCAGAGGUCGUAGGGUCGAAUCUGACCCCAGACU